rnacentral:lncRNA from 1 species
UUGAAAACUGGCUUGAACAAACACUGUAGCUGAUUAAUUAUUAUAGUUAGAGUCACAGUCAUUACAAUUAAACUGUAACCACAUCACACUCAAUAUGAGCAUCAACAGAAGCAGCAAGAAAUUGACACUUAAUGUGUUAUCUUUUUGUCUUCAGCUUUCCGAGCUUCCCUGCAGCGCUGGAGUCAAAUACUGGGUCUACGACACAUUAAGAAUUAUCAGCAGUGUUUAUAAUCCCUGUGAAACAUGGGAAGAUUAUAUUGAAUGGAGUGUUCCUAAAGUCUGUAGUGAUGGAAUUCCAGACACACAAGUUGAUGGUAAGAAGAUGAAUUUAGAGGGUAGCAAAUACAUUUCUACAAUUUUCAAAUCAUGCUAGUUACUUGUAAGACU